GAUGAACGCUGGCGGCGUGCCUAAUACAUGCAAGUCGAGCGAACAGACGAGGAGCUUGCUCCUCUGAUGUUAGCGGCGGACGGGUGAGUAACACGUGGAUAACCUACCUAUAAGACUGGGAUAACUUCGGGAAACCGGAGCUAAUACCGGAUAAUAUAUUGAACCGCAUGGUUCAUUAGUGAAAGACGGUCUUGCUGUCACUUAUAGAUGGAUCCGCGCCGCAUUAGCUAGUUGGUAAGGUAACGGCUUACCAAGGCAACGAUGCGUAGCCGACCUGAGAGGGUGAUCGGCCACACUGGAACUGAGACACGGUCCAGACUCCUACGGGAGGCAGCAGUAGGGAAUCUUCCGCAAUGGGCGAAAGCCUGACGGAGCAACGCCGCGUGAGUGAUGAAGGUCUUCGGAUCGUAAAACUCUGUUAUUAGGGAAGAACAAAUGUGUAAGUAACUAUGCACGUCUUGACGGUACCUAAUCAGAAAGCCACGGCUAACUACGUG
rnacentral:rRNA from 1 species